GCCCCCGCGCAACGCGCGGAGGGACGGGCUGCGCCGGGGGAGCCAGGCGGGCGUGAGGCCGUCUGGGGGUGGUGGCUGUGGAGAGGAGGGGGCUGCGCCUGAGGAUCGCCUGCAGGCGUCUGCACUAAACAAUAAGCAGCCGUCACCUAAUUCAGGAGCCUAAGAAGUCUAACAUCAAAGUGCUGGCAGAUUUGGUGUCUGGUUUUUUCAAAUAAGCUGUUUGCUCAAGAAAAGAAACUCAAUUUUUUCAGAUCCAGAAAGAAUAAAUCAAUUUGAAAUAUUCUUCAUAAAAUGGCUAUAAGAGGCAGCAAGUGCUAAGAAACAUGAAUUUAUGAACAUAGCCACAUGCUUUUUUCCUUUCAGUUUGAUUUAAAUUUAAUAUCCUCCCACAAUGGAAAAUCAUUUACAAUAAAGAGAUGAACUGGAAGGAAUAGGAAAAUGGAAACAAGAUGUCAUUUCUUUUACUAUCCAACAGUUUACCAUCUGUUUUAAAAUGGUGUUUGACCAUCUACAGUAAAUGAAACAAAAUGCUUUUUAAAAUAAUGUAAUACUUUAAACUAUUUUUACUACCAAACUCUCCCUCCCCUGUGAACACAUU